rnacentral:rRNA from 1 species
UAUCUCUGUAGAGUCUGCAUAUCAAUAAGCGGAGGAAAAGAAACUAACUAGGAUUCCCUCAGUAACGGCGAGUGAAGCGGGAAGAGCUCAAAUUUGAAAUCUUCAAGGUUCUACCUUGACGAAUUGUAGUUUAAAGAAGUGUUUUCUGCUGGAGUUUUGGUAAAAGUUCUUUGGAAUAGGACAUCAUAGAGGGUGAGAAUCCCGUAUUUGACCAUUACUUCCAGCGUUGUGAUACACUUUCAAAGAGUCGGAUUGUUUGGGAAUGCAGUCCAAAAUGGGUGGUAAAUUUCAUCUAAAGCUAAAUAUUGGCGAGAGACCGAUAGCGAACAAGUACCGUGAGGGAAAGAUGAAAAGAACUUUGAAAAGAGAGUUAAGACAGUACGUGAAAUUGUCAAAAGGGAAGCGUUUGACACCAGUGUUGUUUUCUCGAAAAUCAAUUAAAAAAGUCAGGAUUUUGUAUUGUAAUUGACCUUUAUCAGCUUUACUGCUACUCUUUUCUUGUCUUUUUUUAAUGCACUUUUCGUUUAACAAGUCAACAUCAAUUUCUUUUGUUGUAAAAGGGUCAUUGGAAGGUGGCUUUCUUUUCGGAGAAAGUGUUUAUAGCCUUUAGCCUCUGCAAUCGGAGAGAUUGAGGUCUGCAGCGUAGAUCCUUCGGGGUUAGAUACAUUUGUGCUAAGUUAUAGCCUUUCAUAGACAACUUGUUGACUAUGAUCAGUCAUGUAGCUUACUCGCUUAUGCUAUUUUACCUACGCUUAGGAUGUUGACGAUCAGCUGAGCGCG